UAGUCUUGCAUCAUGAUUCACCAUGAGUCCUAUCCAAUACGCAUCACAUACACUAGUGCACUCACCAUAGGAAACCCAUCCUAAUGGCUAAGACAAGUCAUCCCUCCAAUUAGGAGGUGGUGCACUAUAGUCUUUAUUGGAUUUCCUAAAUUCAUGAACCAACAAUGUACAACUUAUCUACUUACAAGGAACCCAUGACUUGUAUCUUCUAUGCAACUUCUAAUGAACCCAAGUCAUGUACAAUGUAAG
rnacentral:lncRNA from 1 species